rnacentral:snoRNA from 1 species
ACAACAAGAAUGACAAGGUUGAGGUGAGCGUGUGGUGCGCCGAUCGACGGCGUUGCUAGGUGGCAUGGUCGUGGUGCAGGAAGGCGAACCACAUGUGGUUGGUGGGGUGAUAUGGUUUCGACUAGCAGU